rnacentral:rRNA from 1 species
ACCGCGAAUGGCUCAUUAAAUCAGUUAUGGUUCCUUAGAUUGUUUCUUCCUACUUGGAUAACUGUGGCAAUUCUAGAGCUAAUACAUGCAGUGAGCCCUUGUGUCAUUUUUGACCAGCGGGUGCUUUUAUUAGACCAAGAUCGAUCGGGCUUCGGCCCGUAUUGUGUGGUGACUCUGGAUAACUUUGUGCUGAUCGCAUGGCCACGAGCCGGCGACGUUUCUUUCAAGUGUCUGCCUUAUCAACUUUCGAUGGUAGGUUACUUGCUUACCAUGGUUGUUACGGGUAACGGAGAAUCAGGGUUCGAUUCCGGAGAGGGAGCCUGAGAAACGGCUACCACAUCCAAGGAAGGCAGCAGGCGCGCAAUUUACCCACUCCCGGCACGGGGAGGUAGUGACGAAAAAUAACAAUACGGGACUCUUUUGAGGCCCCGUAAUUGAAAUGAGUACACUCUAAAUCCUUUAACGAGGAUCAAUUGGAGGGCAAGUCUGGUGCCAGCAGCCGCGGUAAUUCCAGCU